rnacentral:miRNA from 1 species
GGAGGCUUGGGGAAAGAGGCGGGCCUGGGGGAGCUGGGGAAAGGCAGGCUACUGGGGAGCUGGGUAGUUCAGAAGCCCAGCUUCCUGUGUCUCCUUCCCCAG